GUGGGGAAUAUUGCACAAUGGGGGAAACCCUGAUGCAGCGACGCCGCGUGAGCGAAGAAGGCCUUCGGGUUGUAAAGCUCUGUUGAGGGGGACGAAGAAUGACGGUACCCCUUUAGAAAGCCACGGCUAACUACGUGCCAGCAGCCGCGGUAAUACGUAGGUGGCGAGCGUUGUCCGGAAUUACUGGGUGUAAAGGGAGCGUAGGCGGGGGUCUAAGUUGGAUGUGAAAUACCGCAGCUUAACUGCGGGGCUGCAUCCAAAACUGGACUUCUUGAGUGAAGUAGAGGCAAGCGGAAUUCCUAGUGUAGCGGUGAAAUGCGUAGAUAUUAGGAGGAACACCAGUGGCGAAGGCGGCUUGCUGGGCUUUUACUGACGCUGAGGCUCGAAAGCGUGGGGAGCAAACAGGAUUAGAAACCCUAGUAGUCC
rnacentral:rRNA from 1 species